GUUUGGGUCUAGAGGCAGGGCAGGAUGGAUAUAGGUCUGUAACAGUUUGGGUCUAGAGGCAGGGCAGGAUGGAUAUAGGUCUGUAACAGUUUGGGUCUAGAGGCAGGGCAGGAUGGAUAUAGGUCUGUAGCAGUCUAGAGGCAGGGGCAGGAUGGAUAUAGGUCUGUAGCAGUCUAGAGGCAGGGCAGGAUGGAUAUAGGUCUGUAACAGUUUGGGUCUAGAGGCAGGGCAGGAUGGAUAUAGGUCUGUAGCAGUUUGGGUCUAGAGGCAGGGCAGGAUGGAUAUAGGUCUGUAGCAGUUUGGGUCUAGAGUGUCUCCCCCUUUGAAGAGGGGGAUGACCGCGGCAGCUUUCCAAUCUUUGGGAAUCUCAGACAAUAUGAGAGGUUGAACAGGCUAGUAAUAGGGGUUGCAACAAUUUCGGCAAAUCAUUUUGGAAAGAGAGGGCCCAGAUUGUCUAGCCCAGCUGAUUUGUAGUUGUCCAUAUUUUGCAGCUAUUUCAGAACAUCAGCUAUCUGGAUUUGGGUGAAGGAGAAAUGGGGGAGGCUUGGGCGAAUUGCUGUGGGAGAU
ensembl:lncRNA